AUACGUAGGGUGCGAGCGUUAAUCGGAAUUACUGGGCGUAAAGCGUGCGCAGGCGGUUAUGUAAGACAGAUGUGAAAUCCCCGGGCUCAACCUGGGAACUGCAUUUGUGACUGCAUAGCUAGAGUACGGCAGAGGGGGAUGGAAUUCCGCGUGUAGCAGUGAAAUGCGUAGAUAUGCGGAGGAACACCGAUGGCGAAGGCAAUCCCCUGGGCCUGUACUGACGCUCAUGCACGAAAGCGUGGGGAGCAAACAGGAUUAGAUACCCUAGUAGUCC
rnacentral:rRNA from 1 species